UACGAAGGGGGCUAGCGUUGUUCGGAAUUACUGGGCGUAAAGCGUAUGCAGGCGGAUCUUUAAGUCAGGGGUGAAAUCCUGAGGCUCAACCUCAGAACUGCCUUUGAUACUGGAGAUCUUGAGUCCGGGAGAGGUUAGUGGAACUGCGAGUGUAGAGGUGAAAUUCGUAGAUAUUCGCAAGAACACCAGUGGCGAAGGCGGCUCACUGGCCCGGAACUGACGCUGAGGUGCGAAAGCGUGGGGAGCAAACAGG
rnacentral:rRNA from 1 species